GCAGGUUUACGAGUUAUUUCACAAUGGCUGCAAAGUAUAGUGCUACAGUAUUAUACUACCCGUGGUGUAUAACCCAGCACGAGUGCACGGUCAGCGAACGAACCACGACGAUACUGCACAUGUAUCUAUCUUAUUUGCAGAAUCUGGCCCAUUUCUUGACCUACAUCUUGGAGAUUCACUUGACCGGGAAGGGCUGGAAGUUGUAUCCAGGUGACCAAUACCCAUUGGUACAUUUAACACUUGUGUAGUUGUUGCUGUACCAGAACAACCCUCUGCACCAACACUCAUAGGCAAGGUUGUGGUUACAGAUGGCGUUUGUGGAAUCAUUCCACCAAUUCCCAUAUUAGGGAUUUGCACAAGGUUUCCAAUAAUUUUU